CAGUUGCGUGGAUAUUUAAAUUUACAUCGGAUAGAAAUGAAUUAAACGAAUUAGUAGGGGUAUUCGGAAUCUGUUGUAUUCGUAGUAAUUAUUUACUCUUUUUACAACGAAUUCAGAAAUACACAAGAAAAUCGCGAACACACCCAUUGUAAUGUCGUUGUAAAAUUUGUCGAACAGCUGAUUUUUGUGCCACAACAAAUAAAAAGCGAAAAAACUAAAAUAUUAGAUUUUAUUGUUAAUUGUGAAAAUCAAAUUGCUGAUGUGAACGAUGCCGAUGAUGCAGCCGUGGAUGAUAUUUUAGACUGCUGUAUGGAAGAGGUGAUCGCUAUAUUGCAGUGCCGCCGAGGAAUUCAGAACUGGAACUGAACUGGAUGAUACCAGGUUGAAGCAAAUGUUAAGGGUGGAUCGAUUUCAAUUCACUCAUUUGGUUGGGUUAAUUAAAACAGAUGAUGUUUUUAAUCGACUUCACUGAUGCAAACAGUUUUCUAUAGAGUUGCAACUUGCAAUUGUGUUAUACAGACUUGGGAUUUAUGGUGAAAAUGCUUCCAUAAGGAAAAUAGCUUCUAUUUUUGGAAUUGGCGAUGGAAACACAAUUGGCGUUGUAACAGAAAGAGUAUUUAAAGCUUUCCAACGAUUGGAGAGAAAAAUUAUAUUUUGGCCAGAUUACGCUGAAAGAAAUUUAAUUUCCCAAACGUUCAACGAACUUUCAUAUUGCAUUGGUUACGUAGAUGGAWCAGAGAUUGCUCUUGCCGAAGCGCCCGUCCAUAACCACAGGACGCAUUUUUCUAAAAAUCGACGUUACUCUAUAAAAGCUCAAGUGGUUUGUGACCACAAAUGCAGAAUUCGACAUAUUGUAGUGGGCCAUGUGGGUAGCGCUCAUGAUGCUAAAGUAUAUAAAACAUGCGCUUUGUUUCCUGAAGAGUCGAAAUUUUUUUCAGGAUUUCAGUGACUAGCAGGUGACUCAGCUUAUCCGAUUUCCAAAACGUUAAUAACACCAUAUCGAAGCAACUCAAAGCAAUUGGACAUACAAAAACGCAAUGAAUUUAAUCGACGCCAUAGUAAGUAUCGCGUACGAAUUGAAAAUUGUUUUGGGUUGUUAAAAGAGAAAUUUGGUAGUCUAAAGGAGCUCAGAAUUCGAAUUCAAAACAGAGAAAGUCACAAAUUUAGUAAUAAAUUAGUAAUAGUACAAGUUUUUUGAGUUAGAAAUAAAUUUAAUAAACAAAAAGUUUAAUAAGGCACUCUUUCAUAUAACAAUAGAUUGUUGUUCCAUAAAUAAAUAAAAGAAAAUGUGUAAUUUUUGGUUUCUGUUUUCUGAAAAAAACUUA